CGAGGCAAGAGGGAAUAAACCUGUGCUCUUUGUUGUUACUUUCAGAACCCUACGACAACGUUUCAAGAAGCACAUAUUAUAUGGACAGAAAUGAAAAUGCCAGCAAGAUCAGCCAAGAAAAGAAUAAAGUCAAAGACCAAGACCCAGACAUACAAAUUCUUCAUCUUUGUUGUUUAUAUUCCUGUUUAUGCUGUACAUUAAUCAGGGCGAUACAAAAAGUUAAUCUUUCCCUUAACUUUAUCAACUAUCCAAUCUUUUGACCAGUUUAAGAUUUCAAGAAACACACAAAGAAAUCAAGAAUUCUAAUUCUUGAUCAGAAAUUCAGGUUCUUUAUUGAAUUUUAUGAUAUGGGUAAAGGUGGUGGGUGUGUACCAAGCAAGAGAAGACUACCUAUAGAGGUACCUGAUCAAGAACCUUCCCUCCAAGAAACAAGCUCUGCUAUUUCCUCACAAAACCAAAUCACAUCCACAAACACAACAAUCCCAGUUCAAUAUAAUCCCACACUAGCAGUUAAAAAGUGCAAGAUUUUUAUUAUUUUUUACUCAAUGUAUGCUCAUGUGGAGUUAAUGGCAAGAAGAAUAAAGAAAGGCGUGGAUUCCAUUGAUGGGGUUGAAGGGGUUUUGUAUAGGGUCCCAGAGACCUUGCCACAGGGUACUUUAGAGCAAAUGAAGGUACCCCAGAAAGGAAAUGAUGUGCCUUUGAUAAAUGUUGAUGAGUUGGUGAAUGCUGAUGGCUUCUUGUUUGGAUUUCCUACAAGAUUUGGGUCCAUGGCAGCUCAAAUGAAGGCUUUUUUUGACUCGACUCAUAAGUUAUGGAUGAAGCAGAAGCUUGCUGGUGUGCCUGCUGGGUUCUUUGUGAGCACCGGCACACAGGGUGGUGGGCAGGAGACCACUGCCUGGACAGCAAUCACUCAGUUAGUCCAUCACGGGAUGGUCUUUGUCCCUAUCGGUUACACCUUUGGAGCUGGAAUGUUCAGAAUGGAUUCCAUUAGAGGAGGAUCUCCGUAUGGUGCUGGAGUCCUUUCUGGAGAUGGCACAAGAGAGCCAAGUGCAACAGAACUAGCUCUUGCGGAGCACCAGGGAAAAUACAUGGCUACAGUAGUUAAAAGAUUUGCAAGGCCCUUUUCACUGGCGCCUGGUGAAAAACACAACUAGUGCUGCUAAAACCAACAUUCAUUUUGCAUCUCUAUUGUCCACCUUUUUUUAUAGAUAUACAUGACUAGUCUAUGAAGAUCAAUGCUGCAGGAUCGAUUCAAAUCAUGGAUGAGGGUAGUAAAACCCCAGGGAGUAUCACAGACACGUCACAACGAUAUUGCAAUAUUUUGAGAACUAGGAUCAACACCCAUCAGGAGAGAUAUAUGACCAAAGUUACAAUCUCCUGAACCUUCAUGCACUGAAGUUGACACUUUCCAUCGACAGGCAGCAACUAGAUACAGCGAUUGAGGGAGGGAGGAAGGCUUGUCCCACAUACCCACCAGCCAUUGACUUUCUCACAUUGGAUUCAAAUAAUUUGGGGUUAUCUCUUAAGACAGCCGCAGCAUCUUGAUUGAGGGGAUCCUCAUGGCUGGGUUCCUGCACACAAAAGCACUAGCAUCAACUAAAUUGGAACUGGGUACGAUAUGUGCCAGAUGAUGUUCAAGGGCAGUUUUACAUGAUAAGCCCAUAUUUUUUGAGAAAAUUGUCAACGGAUAAGAAAGUAUGUUAUUUGAUUAUGAU